GAGAGAUCUUCGUAAUUUCAGCAGCCGGGCAAGGCCACCUCCAACCCUGUAUGGAGCUCUGCAACCACCUCCUCUCUCUCCACUACCACACCACCAUCGUCAUCCCCUCCUCUCUCUCCUCCGCCAUUCCCUCCUCCUUUUCCCAAAACCCACUCUCCCAAAUCGUCCCCGUCACCGCCUCUUCCGACCCUCCCCGACCCGGACCCGACCCGCUCCGCCAGCAAGCCGCCCUCGACCUCGACCGCCACCUCGCCGCCCGCCCCGCCUCCGCUCCCCGCCCUCUCUGCGCCGUCAUCGACUUCCAGAUGGGCUGGACCAAGGAGGUCUUCUGGAAAUUCGACAUCCCCGUCGUCGGAUUCUUCACCUUCGGCGCGUGCGCCGCCGCCAUGGAGUGGGGAGCGUGGAAGGUCCAAGCCGCCGACCUCCGCCCCGACGAGAUCCGCCCCAUUCCCGGCCUACCGGACUCAAUGUCUCUCACUUAUUCCGAUCUCAAACGCAAGUCCGGCGGUCCGCCACGUGGCGGUCCCGGCGGCCCGAAAGGUCCGCCGGGCGGAGGCAAAGGAGGUGGAGGAGGAGGAGGUCCGCCGAAACCGGGGAACCGACCGCCGUGGGUCCCGGAGGUGGAAGGCUCCGUAGCGCUGAUGUUCAACACGUGUGACUAUCUGGAGCGUCCGUUCAUCGACUACAUGACCGAUCAAAUGGGGAUUCCGACGUGGGGAGUGGGCCCGCUCUUACCGGAAUCAUACUGGCGGCCGUUGGAUUCUUCGAUCUCCCACCGUCAGAUCAGAGCCCAGCAGCGGCAAUCGAACUACACCGAAAACGACGUCGUGGGAUGGCUGGACGCAAAGCCCGGCGGGUCGGUGCUGUACGUGGCGUUCGGGAGUGAAGUGGGCCCGACAGCGGAAGAGUACCCGCAGCUGGCCAGCGCAUUGGAGGAGACAACCGGGCCGUUUAUCUGGGUCAUCCAAUCCGGGGCAGGGGGGUCCGAACCCGGGUACUACCCUGACGGGUUGGAGAGCAGAGUAGGAGAGAGGGGUUUGAUAAUAAAGGGAUGGGCGCCACAGCUGGUGAUACUGAGCCACCCAUCAACCGGUGGUUUCUUAUCACAUUGUGGCUGGAACUCAACCGCCGAGGCAUUGGGCCGGGGCGUGCCCUUUUUGGGCUGGCCGGUGAGAGGUGAUCAAUACUUUAAUGCUAAAUUGGUGGUGAACUAUCUCAAGGUCGGGUACAGAGUUGCGGAGGAUUUGUCGGAGA
rnacentral:lncRNA from 1 species